ACGAAAGUGUGACAGGGCUAUCCCGAGUGCCAUCCGCUGAGGAAGGCUUUUACCCAGUCUAGAACGCUGGGGGAAUAAGGAGAGGGCAAGUCUGGUGUCAGCCGCCGCGGUAAUACCAGCUCUCCGAGUGGUGUGGAUGUUUAUUGGGCCUAAAGCAUCCGUAGCUGGCUAAGUUAGUCCCUUGUUAAAUCCACCGAAUUAAUCGUUGGAUUGCGGGGGAUACUGCUUGGCUAGGGGACGAGAGAGGCAGACGGUAUUUCCGGGGUAGGGGUGAAAUCCUAUAAUCCCGGGAAGACCACCAGUGGCGAAGGCUGUCUGCUAGAACGCGCCCGACGGUGAGGGAUGAAAGCUGGGGGAGCGAACCGGAUUAGAUACCCGGGUAAUCCCAGCUGUAAACGAUGCAGGCUAGGUGUUUGGACGGCCACGUGCCGUUCUAGUGCCGCAGGGAAGCUGUUAAGCCUGCCGCCUGGGGAGUACGAUCGCAAGAUUGAAACUUAAAGGAAUUGGCGGGGGAGCAC
rnacentral:rRNA from 1 species